UGAAAUUUUAGUUCUUUACGUUUGGUGGUGGUUUCUGUAGGCUAGCUAGGGAUUCGAUUUCGCUAAUUAUUGAUAAACAAAAUAGAGAAAAAGUGUUAUGGAAUACAAUGGUGUUAGAUGAAGAGGUAAAAUUACGGAUGAACAAUAUUGGAACAGAUGAACAAUAUAGAAACAAUGAAAACAUUCUAUUAUCAGGUGAUGUCGUUUAUAAGGUACAACUUUAGCGAUGUUAUUUACCUUGUGUGUAUUAAAUAGGCGUGUUUAGAAUUUA